GUCUACGGCCAUUCCACCCUGAACCCAUGGGAUCUCUCCUGAACUCAGAAGUUAAGCAGGGUUGGGCCUGGUUAGUACUUGGAUGUGAGACUGCCUGGGAAUGCUGGGUGCUGUAUGCU
ensembl:rRNA 5S_rRNA 5S ribosomal RNA